CCUACGGGUGGCAGCAGUGAGGAAUAUUGGUCAAUGGGCGCAAGCCUGAACCAGCCAAGUAGCGUGAGGGAAGACUGCCCUAUGGGUUGUAAACUUCUUUUAUACGGGGAUAAAGUUGUGCACGUGUGGCUGUUUGUAGGUACCUUAUGAAUAAGGAUCGGCUAAAUCCGUGCCAGCAGCCGCGGUAAUACGGAGGAUCCGAGCGUUAUCCGGAUUUAUUGGGUUUAAAGGGAGCGUAGGCGGGUUGUUAAGUGAGGUGUGAAAGUUUGCGGCUCAACCGUGAAAGUGCAACGGGUACUGGAAGCCUUGAGUGCAGGUGAGGUAGGCGGAAUUCGGGGUGUAGCGGUGAAAUGCUUAGAUAUCACGAAGAACCCCGAUUGCGAAGGCAGCUUACCAAACCGCUACUGACGCUGAUGCUCGAAAGCGUGGGUAUCAAACAGGAUUAGAUACCCUAGUAGUC
rnacentral:rRNA from 1 species